rnacentral:rRNA from 1 species
AUUGAACGCUGGCGGCAGGCCUAACACAUGCAAGUCGAGCGGAGCGGCGGACGGGUGAGUAAUACCUAGGGAUCAGCCUGGUAGUGGGGGAUAAAGUUCGGCAACGGACGAUAAUACCGCAUAAUAUAAGAUGAGCCUAGGUCGGCUUAGCUGGUUGGUGAGGUAAUGGAUCACCACGGCUACGCUGCGUAACUGGUCUUCGAGGAUGAUCAGUCACACUGUAACUGAGACACGGUCCAGACUCCUACGGGAGGCAGCAGUGGGGAAUAUUGGACAAUGGGCGAAAGCCUGAUCCAGCCAUGCCGCGUGGGUGAAGAAGGUCUUCGGAUUGUAAAGCACUUUAAGUUGGGAGGCGUUACCGACAGAAUAAGCACCGGCUAACUCUGUGCCAGCAGCCGCGGUAAUUC